CGGGGUGUGGCUCAGCUUGGCUAGAGCGCCUGGUUUGGGACCAGGAGGUCGCAGGUUCAAAUCCUGUCACCCCGAUCA
rnacentral:tRNA from 1 species